UAAGUAUCUCCAUCAGCUCAUGCCAUGCCACAUACUUUUGUUAAUUCCCAACCUUUUCUGUUUUGCUUACUUGAAAUUCUAAUAUGUUUAAGUUCAUUAUGCAGGCUGAGAUAGAAAAGGUUAAGAAGAGAAGGGAGGAAAGAGCACUUGAAAAAGCUCAACAUGAGGAAGAAAUGGCGCUGCUUGCCAGAGAACGCGCUCGGGCUGAGUUCCAAGACUGGGAGAAAAAAGAAGAAGAGUUCCACUUUGAUCAAAGCAAAAUGAGGUCAGACACAA